GGAUUUUUUAUCUCUUGGCCCAUGAAUGUAGAGUUUCCUGUAGUAAUGAUACAUUCUCACAUAUAUGAAAUUCCGAUGGUUUUGUUACAAUUAUGAGUAACUACAUCUUACCUUAAGUUUUUAUUCGUAGAAUGUAAUUUUCCAGAUUCAGUAAGGUUAAAACAUAUAUUGUAGCGGCAGUGUGUAAGAAUAGAAAAGAACCAACUUCUAAUCCUAGCUUUCGCCACUUGACU